GAUGAACGCUGUCGGCAUGCUUAACACAUGCAAGUCUGACGGGCUGUCUUAUUUCCUGUGGCUUACUGGUGAGUUACGCGUAAGCACCUGCCCUUGGGAAGGGACCAACAGCUGGAAACGGCUGCUCAUACCCCGUAGCCUGAUGAGCACAAGAAGCAAUCCGCCUGAGGAGGGGAUCGCGUCUGAUUCGCUCGUUGGUGAGUCCAUAGCUUACCAAGUCGCUGAUCAGUCGCUGGUCCGAGAGGAUGAUCAGCCACACUGGAACGGAGACACAGGCCAGGCUACUACGGGAGGAAGUAGCAGGGAAUCAACUGCAAUGGGCGAAAGAGUGACGGAGCAAUGCCGCGAGGAGGUAGAAGGAGUACGGGUCGUGAACUUCUUCUCUCGGAGAAGAAGCAAUGACGGUAUCUGGGGAAUAAGCAUCGGAUAACUCGGUG
rnacentral:rRNA from 1 species